CAGAGAGCACCUGCACAGCAAUCGCCACUGCACUAGUUCUACUGUUGCGUUUCUCUGUGCGAUUUCGACCAUGAGCUACCCGCCACCGGGCACCGCUUACCCGCAGCCAGGCCAGGAGGCCUACCCGCCGCCGGCGUACGGCGCUCCGCCGCCUGUCGCCGCCUACUACCAGCAGCAGCAGGCCCCGCCGCCGGAACCGGAGGACAGCGGCGACGGCUUCUGGAAAGGAUGUUGUGCUGCGAUUUGCUGCUGCUGUCUGCUCGACACGUGCUGCUGAUCACAAGAGUUCGUACCGCCAACACCAUGCAAUCCUACGAUGAUCUACAUCUACUAAGAGCUGCUCAUAUAUAGUUUGUUUCUAUCGUACGUAGUAAUUUUUUUUUUUUGCGGUUUAUCGUACGUACUAUUUGUGCUGUUCGGAUCGAGAUUUGUAUGACGGUGUACUACUACCUCCGUUCGGAAAUAAAUGACGUUUUAGUUUAAA